UAAACAAAAGGUUUGGUCCUAGCCUUAUUGUUAAUUUUAAUUAGACCUACACAUGCAAGUUUCUGCUAUCCUGUGAGAAUGCCCACAAAACUAUUUAAUCAAAAGAUAAGAGGAGUUGGUAUCAGGCACACUAAUAGUAGCCAAUUACACCUUGCUUAACCACACCCCCACGGGAAACAGCAGUGAUUAAAAUUCAGCUAUAAAUGAAAGUUUGACUAAAUUAUAAUUAUUUUCAAAGGUUGGUAAAUUUUGUGCCAGCCACCGCGGUCAUACGAUUAACCCAAAUUAACAAAUCUUCGGCGUAAAGCGUGUUUAAGCAAAAAUAUUAAAAUAAAGUUAAUAACUAAACUGUAAUACGUUCUAGUUGAUACUAAGAUAAAUUAUUAAAAUAACUUUAACAAAGCUGACACACAAUAACUAAGAUACAAACUUGGAUUAGAUAACCCACUAUGCUUAGUCAUAAACUAAAAUAGUUAAAUAACAAAACUAUUCGCCAGAGAACUACUAGCUAUUGCUUAAAACUCAAAGGACUUGGCGGUGCCCUAAAGCCAUCUAGAGGAGCCUGUUCUAUAAUCGAUAAACCCCGAUAUACCCAACCCUGUCUUGCCAAUACAGCCUAUAUACCGCCAUUGUCAGCCCACCUUAAAAAAGACAAAAAGUAAGCAAAACUACUUUCCAUAAAAACAUUAGGUCAAGGUGUAGCACAUGAAAGGGAAAGAAAUAGGCUACAUUUUCUAAUUUAGAGAAUAAUGAAUUACAUUAUGAAAUUAAAGUACUUGAAGGAGGAUUUAGUAGUAAAUUAAGAAUAGAGUGCUUAAUUGAAUUAGGCAAUAGGGCGCGCACAUACCACACCGCCUGUCACCCUCCUCAACUCAAUUUAUUAAUAUACCUAAUAAUCCAUCUAAACAAAGAGAAAAGUCAUAACACGGUAAGUGUACUAGAAAGUGAUUUUGGAAUAUCAAAAUG
rnacentral:ncRNA from 1 species